rnacentral:rRNA from 1 species
GCGUGGAGACAGGUGGUGCAUGGCUGUCGUCAGCUCGUGUCGUGAGAUGUUGGGUUAAGUCCCGCAACGAGCGCAACCCUCACCUCUUGUUGCCAUCAGGUCAUGCUGGGCACUCUAGAGGAACUGCCCCGGUCAACGGGGAGGAAGGCGGGGAUGACGUCAAGUCAUCAUGCCCCUUACGUCCUGGGCUACACACGUGCUACAAUGGCCGGUACAAUGGGAUGCGACGCCGCGAGGUAGAGCUAAACCCAAAAAGCCGGUCUAAGUUCAGAUUGGAGUCUGCAACUCGACUCCAUGAAGGAGGAAUCGCUAGUAAUCGCGUAUCAGCACGACGCGGUGAAUACGUUCCCGGGCCUUGUACACACCGCCCGUCACACCACGAAAGCCAGCUGUACUCGAAGUCGCUGAG